AGUGAACGCUGGCGGUAGGCCUAAUACAUGCAAGUCGAACGGCAGCACAGUAAGAGCUUGCUCUUACGGGUGGCGAGUGGCGGACGGGUGAGGAAUACAUCGGAAUCUACUUUUUCGUGGGGGAUAACGUAGGGAAACUUAUGCUAAUACAGCAUACUACGUACGGGUGAAAGCAGGGGAGCUUCGGACCUUGCGCGAUUGAAUGAGCCGAUGUCGGAUUAGCUAGUUGGCUGGGUAAAGGCCCACCAAGGCGACGAUCCGUAGCUGAUCUGAGAGGAUGAUCAGCCACACUGGAACUGAGACACGGUCCAGACUCCUACGGGAGGCAGCAGUAGGGAAUAUUGGACAAUGGGCGAAAGCCUGAUCCAGCCAUACCGCGUGAGUGAAGAAGGCCUUCGGGUUGUAAAGCCCUUUUGUUGGGAAAGAAAAGCAGCGGGUUAAUACCCCGCUGUUCUGACGGUACCCAAAGAAUAAGCACCGGCUAACUUCGUG
rnacentral:rRNA from 1 species